rnacentral:rRNA from 1 species
GGAGGGUGCAAGCGUUAUCCGGAUUUACUGGGUUUAAAGGGUGUGUAGGCGGACUUUUAAGUCAGCGGUGAAAUCUCCGGGCUCAACCCGGAAACUGCCAUUGAUACUAUUGGUCUUGAAUGUUGUUGAGGUGGGCGGAACGGGUCAUGUAGCGGUGAAAUGCAUAGAUAUGACCCGGAACACCGAUUGCGUAGGCAGCCCACUAAGCAACGAUUGACGCUGAGGCACGAAAGCGUGGGGAUCAAACAGGAUUAGAUACCCUGGUAGUCCACGCCCUAAACGAUGAUUACUCGACGUUGGCGAUACACUGAUCAGCGUCCAAGCGAAAGCAUUAAGUAAUCCACCUGGGAAGUACGUUCGCAAGAAUGAA